rnacentral:misc_RNA from 1 species
GAUGAAGAACGUAGUGAAAUGCGAUAAUUAAUGUGAAUUGCAGAAUUCAGUGAAUCAUCGAGUCUUUGAACGCACAUUGCGCCCCCUGGUAUUCCGGGGGGCAUGUCUGUCCGAGCGUCAUUGCUGCCCUCAAGCACGGCUUGUGUGUUGGGCUUCCGUCCCUGGCAACGGGGACGGGCCCAAAAGGCAGUGGCGGCACCAUGUCUGGUCCUCGAGCGUAUGGGGCUUUGUCACCCGCUCCCGUAGGUCCAGCUGGCAGCUAGCCUCGCAACCAAUCUUUUUAACCAGGUUGACCACGGAUCAGGUAGGGAUACACGCUGAACUUAAGCAUAUCAAUAAGCGGAGGA